rnacentral:rRNA from 1 species
AAGCUGCCGCGCGCCUAAUGAUGCAAGUCGCGCGAAUGGAUUAAGAGCUUGCUCUUAUGAAGUUAGCGGCGGACGGGUGAGUAACACGUGGGUAACCUGCCCAUAACACUGGGAUAACUCCGGGAAACCGGGGCUAAUACCGGAUAACAUUUUGAACCGCAUGGUUCGAAAUUGAAAGGCGGCUUCGGCUGUCACUUAUGGAUGGACCCGCGUCGCAUUAGCUAGUUGGUGAGGUAACGCUCACCAAGGCAACGAUGCGUAGCCGACCUGAGAGGGUGAUCGGCCACACUGGGACUGAGACACGGCCCACACUCCUACGGGAGGCAGCAGUAGGGAAUCUUCCGCAAUGGACGAAAGUCUGACGGAGCAACGCCGCGUGAGUGAUGAAGGCUUUCGGGUCGUAAAACUCUGUUGUUAGGGAAGAACAAGUGCUAGUUGAAUAAGCUGGCACCUUGACGGUACCUAACCAGAAAGCCACGGCUAACUACGUGCCAGCAGCCGCGGUAAUACGUAGGUGGCAAGCGUUAUCCGGAAUUAUUGGGCGUAAAGCGCGCGCAGGUGGUUUCUUAAGUCUGAUGUGAAAGCCCACGGCUCAACCGUGGAGGGUCAUUGGAAACUGGGAGACUUGAGUGCAGAAGAGGAAAGUGGAAUUCCAUGUGUAGCGGUGAAAUGCGUAGAGAUAUGGAGGAACACCAGUGGCGAAGGCGACUUUUCUGGUCUGUAACUGACACUGAGGCGCGAAAGCGUGGGGAGCAAACAGGAUUAGAUACCCUGGUAGUCCACGCCGUAAAACGAUGAGUGCUAAGUGUUAGAGGGUUUCCG